UUGACCUCGGAUCAGGUAGGAUUACCCGCUGAACUUAAG
rnacentral:rRNA from 1 species